AUACAACCAACUGGCCUUGACUUUAAGAUGAUGUCUCAGCAUGACCAUACCACUGGAUACAUAAAGAAUUCACAAGUAUUUCAGGCCCCUGAAAACCUUUACAAGCAUGGAUACAUCUUGGGCAGGCAAACUGCAUAACAAUGCCCCUUCAUCAGAAUCCAUGGAGCCACCACUGAACAGCAAAUUCUUUUCCCAAGGGUGUCUCAAAAAAGAAGAUUCAGAUGUCCUUGGAAGAGAGGGAUGCAGUCUACCAGUCAUGGAAACUUCUGCAUAAAUCUGAGAAAUAUGUGAAGUCUUUCAUCAUUGCAAGCAAGGUUCUCUACAUGCUUUCUGGCCAAGAAUUUUAAUACUUCUGUUCAGAACUGGAUCCUUAUUUAAUGUUUCGUUUUGUUUUUUGGUCUACUUGCUUUGCCAGCCAUAU